GGCGCUGUGGCUUAGUUGGUUAGAGCGCCUGUCUAGUAAACAGGAGAUCCUGGGUUCGAAUCCCAGCAGUGCCU
rnacentral:tRNA from 1 species